rnacentral:rRNA from 1 species
GAUGAACGCUGGCGGCGUGCCUAAUACAUGCAAGUCGAGCGAACAGACGAGGAGCUUGCUCCUCCGACGUUAGCGGCGGACGGGUGAGUAACACGUGGAUAACCUACCUAUAAGACUGGGAUAACUUCGGGAAACCGGAGCUAAUACCGGAUAAUAUAUUGAACCGCAUGGUUCAAUAGUGAAAGACGGUUUUGCUGUCACUUAUAGAUGGAUCCGCGCCGCAUUAGCUAGUUGGUAAGGUAACGGCUUACCAAGGCAACGAUGCGUAGCCGACCUGAGAGGGUGAUCGAGCACACUGGAACUGAGACACGGUCCAGACUCCUACGGGAGGCAGCAGUAGGGAAUCUUCCGCAAUGGGCGAAAGCUUGACGGAGCAACGCCGCGUGAGUGAUGAAGGUCUUCGGAUCGUAAAGCUCUGUUAUUAGGGAAGAACAAAUGUGUAAGUAACUAUGCACGUCUUGACGGUACCUAAUCAGAAAGCCACGGCUAACUACGUG